GACUUCGGCUUAGGUCAUGAUCUCACGGUUCGUGAAUUUGAGGGCCACGUUGGGCUCUGUGCUGACAGCAUAGUUUAUUUACCCACUUGGCUACUAAGAGACAUCUCGGUUGCUUCCGAGUUUUGGCAAUUAUGAAUAAAAUAUGUGCGUGCAGGUUUUCGUGUAGCCAUUCUGAGAGAUGUGUAGUGGCAUCUCGUUGUUGUUUCAAUUCCCAUUUCCCCAAUGAAUAGGACGUGAAGCAUCUUUUCAUAUGACUAUUUGCAUCUCUAUAUCUUCUUUGGGGAGGUUGGGAUGCUUGGCCCAUUCUUCAACCAGGUUGUGUGUUUUCUUAUGGUUGAGUUUUAAGAGUUCUCUGCAUGGUUUGGUGGUAGCUUAUGGUUGAGUUUUAAGAGUUCUCUGCAUGGCUUGGUGGUAGCUUCUGGUUGAAUUUUCAGAGU